rnacentral:rRNA from 1 species
UGAACGCUGGCUGCAUGCCUUCCACAUGCAAGUCGACCGGUAACAGGUUAAGCUGACGAGUGGCGAACGGGUGAGUAAUACAUCGGAACGUGCCCAGUAGUGGGGGAUAGCCCGGCGAAAGCCGGAUUAAUACCGCAUACGACCUAAGGGUGAAAGGGGGGGAUCGCAAGACCUCUCGCUAUUGGAGCGGCCGAUGUCAGAUUAGCUAGUUGGUGGGGUAAAAGCUCACCAAGGCGACGAUCUGUAGCUGGUCUGAGAGGACGACCAGCCACACUGGGACUGAGACACGGCCCAGACUCCUACGGGAGGCAGCAGUGGGGAAUUUUGGACAAUGGGCGCAAGCCUGAUCCAGCCAUGCCGCGUGCGGGAAGAAGGCCUUCGGGUUGUAAACCGCUUUUGUCAGGGAAGAAAUCCUUUGGGUUAAUACCUCGGGGGGAUGACGGUACCUGAAGAAUAAGCACCGGCUAACUACGUG